CCGCGGAGCUCCCGGAGCUGGUUAGAGCCUAGCUAGACAGAGGCGCGAGGCCAGAGCGACGAUCCCGUGGGAGCCGUGAGAAAAGGAACCAACUGAUCUGCUGGAAUGAGAGGAGCAACCUAUGAGAGGGCCCCAACCCUCUCCCACUCCCAAUACUUCUUAUUCUGGGGCGACUUCUCCAGUAGGGUUCCUAGGCCGUUUCUCACAACCCUCAUCUCAGUUUCAGGAACUGACCCACAGUCUAAAUGAAGUGCAUCCCAAGACCUCUAACAUUCCUUUACCUUCAGCUUCUAGCUUCUCUAACACCUGGACUGCAUCUCAUUCAUCUCUUUUUAUCCUGAUCCCAGCAUGGAUCUAACUGGUAAAUGGAUGGCCUGUUACUCUAAUGCAGCGAUUGGAACAGAAUUCUUCCUUCACUUUGAGAAGCCUAGUUGUUUUAUAAAAGGACAGCACAGUUUUUUCAUGCAGCAGGUAUGCAUUUGUCUGACUGCAUUUGCCAGUUGCUCGUAGUGGGCAUGUGGAUAAAGCCAAUGGUCGCAUGCCAUGCAGUCUGCCCCUUGGCCUAAAUUAAUCCUAGUGUUUCCAGCCAGAGCCUAGGAAGCCAAAGCGGUUAGAACCGCGGGAGGAACAGGGCUGGGCGGGCCACUCCCGCCAGAGGGCGCUGUCGGCUCGCGGAGCCAGGAGCGGAGGCCGUGGCCGCGAGGUGCGGUCGCGAUGCCCUCUCAGCAGCCUAGUGACUGCAUCACCACAGUACCCGAUUGCGGUGAAGUGCAGCGAGCCAACCAGCGCCAAAGCGCUCAUAUGAGCAAGGAAAGGAGACACUAACAAGAUUCUUGACUCAAAGUGUCAUCCUUGUGACAAACAUUUAUAGAGCACAAAGUUGUACCUUUUAUGUCCAAGAUACUGGAGAGUAAGUAUCGAGAUGAGUCACACUACAUUUCCAAACUUAAAGACUUUUCAGAGAUAGUGGCAGAAUUAAAACAGGUACCAAAUAAGUCGAGUGCUGUGCAGGCAGAGGUAAGAGCUGUAAGCAGAAAUGAGGAGGAAGGGCAGGGAAAGCUCAGGGAGGAGGCCUUAUAGCUUCUGCUAAGGGGAUAUGGACCGGGCCCUCAGAGGAUUUGAGUCUUCAAGGAGAGAAGGAUUUGCCACCCUGCAUCACAUAUUGGUUGCAACAGAUGUUGUGAGUUUAACCAGUCCUGGUUUUACAUUUAUUAUACCUGCAUGAUUGUUAUCUGUGACAAAAGGCACUAUUCCCCGACCUGGAGCCCCACCUCCUUGAUCCUGAAAGGUAAAUUAGAAGUAGAAAUGGAUUAAUCAGAUGUCCAGAAUGUGUUAGAGAUAUAUAACCUAAGCUGAACAGUCAGAUUAGUCAUUUUGCUAAUUGAUAAGACGCACAGGGAGCCUGCAGAAACAGCUGUUAAACACUUGGUACAGGUAUCAUAAAACCAUAUGCUGAAAAUAUAUCUAUAUAAUAAUUGGUGUUAGAUAUAUUAGAAGAUACAAAAAAUAGAGAAAUGGAGAAACAAUGUCCUAUUGUUUUAAAGACUCAUACCACCCAAACUUUAUCAAUAUCAUAGUCCCCUGAGACUUAUUAUAAGUCUAUAAUAUUGUAUGACACUGAGGCUAGUUAAAUUUGGAACCAAUAAAUUAAAACAAACCUGGACCUUGGACUUACAAGGAGUUAAAGUGUAAUUGGAGUUAUUACCAAUUAGAUCAUAUUGCGUUGGUUUCAGCAUAAUAAUGUAGAAAAGUUAGUAAAACGAGGAAGUGAGAGAGUUCGUUUUAGACCUAUCAUUAUUGUUAUUUAACAUUUUUUUCUUUGUGGCAAAUCAGUUAACUUCCCUAGGUCUCAGUGUCCUCAUUUAAUGGGGGGAAUUUAACAAAUAAUAAAGAAUACAGACCAGGUGAUUGCUCAACUUCUGCAGAGUGUAACAAACAGGUCUUACUGAGUUCAGUUGUGUCUACAUGCCUCCUUAUUGCUAACUUGGUUCUGAAAUCGCCUGAAGGACCUGCAGAUCCUGUGAGGUUGGACAAAUUGAGGGAAGGGGAAAAGGAGCUUAGGUGGCUGUUAGUUCUGAUAACAGGCAGGCUUCUCCGUGUCACCUGAAGUCUUCUGUGUGCUGUGGCCCAGGCCAUUGACUGUGAUCUCUGCGACCUCUAAAUUACUACAGCACUUUCUGCCUGUGACAUUUAUCUGUCAUAUACUCUAUGCUACCUUGAGCUAUCUUUCUGCACCAGACAUUUGAGGAUAGGGUCUAUGGCAGCCUUCAGUGCUACUCGCCAGAUAUUCCAGGCUCCUCACACCUGUCUGUGGAUGGGAGAAUUUCUCAGCCCCCUUGUGGAUGGGGGAGGGAGGCCACGUGACUGGCUCUAGCCAACAACUAGGAGCAGAGGUAAUGGUUAGCACUUCCUGUGGACUAAUUAGUUGCCUGAGGAAGGCCCUCAGGAGGUUCUUCUGUUCUCUGCCAGUGACCAGCUAUGUUCCAGAGCAUGACUUUUCUGUGGGUCUGGAUGCAGGAGUGAGAAUGAUGCAGCUGUGGAGCUCCCAGCCAACCCGCCAUAGACUUAUAGCACACUUGAGAACAAGCUUUGUUAUUUUAAGACCUUGGGAUUUGGGGACUGUUAUUACAGCAGCAUGUUCUGCAGCAUGUUCUGGCCCAUCCCGACUAAUAAAGGGUCAUUGUGUGUCAUCAUCUUUGUUUUCCCAGUGCUCCAAAUGACAUGGCGCUCAAUACCAACUGCCAAAUAAAUAACUGACUGCA